rnacentral:rRNA from 1 species
GACGAACGCUGGCGGCGUGCUUAACACAUGCAAGUCGAACGGAAAGGCCCUGCUUUUGUGGGGUGCUCGAGUGGCGCACGGGGGAGUAACACGUGAGUAACCUGCCCUUGACUUUGGGAUAACUUCAGGAAACUGGGGAUAAUACCGGAUAGGAGCUCCUGCUGCACGGGGGGGGUUGGAAAGUUUCGGCGGUUGGGGAUGGACUCGCGGCUUAUCAGCUUGUUGGGGGGGUAGUGGAUUACCAAGGCUUUGACGGGUAGCCGGCCUGAGCGGGUGACCGGCCACAUUGGGACUGAGAUGCGGCACAGACACCUACUGGAGCGAGCAGUGGGGAAUAUUGCCCAAUGGGCGGAACCCUGAUGCAGCAACGCCGCGUGCGGGAUGACGGCCUUCGUGUUGUAAACCGCUUUCGCCUGUGACGAAGCGUGAGUGACGGUUAUGGGUAAAGAAGCACCGGCUAACUACGUG